CUUUGUUCUAUUUCUGUGAAGGAGGUUAUAGCCCUCAAUGGCUACAUUCAAGUGAUGGGAGUCAUUCCACCAGGUUUCAGUGAUGCCUAUGAUAUCGUAUGUGUGGUGCUGUGCUAUAAGUUGGAGUUUGUCUUGCUCAUUUCCCAUGCUCUGUGCAUUAGUGCAAAGACAUGUAAGCCCCUGUGACCUUCCCCCAAGCUGUUUAUUUGGGAUUAUUGUGCUCUCGGUACUUGGUCCUUGCUGUGUUUGUGCAGCCCUCCAUUUAGCCUUUUGGCAAUUCCCUGUGGUCGUGGGUAAUAUAGUGUUUGCCAGGCUGUUGUUCCCCUCCCCCAGUGGAUCCAGUUUAAAGUGUGCCUGAUGAGGUUUGUGAGUCUGUGUGCAAAAAGAUGUUUUCCUACUUGUGUGAGAUGCACCCAGGUCUGGUUAGUACUUGGAUGGGAGCUUGAACAUGGAGAUUGUAGAUGUGUGAGAGUUAACUGAGACACAAACAGCUCUCCGUCUCAUAUCUCCCCUUUGUUCAGCAUUCUAGUAUCUGCUUAGAUGGACGAACAAACAUGCACUCAGCUAUCUGCCGAGUCCUGUGGUAAUUGACUUUUUUUUGCAGUUAUUUACAGCUAUAUACAGAGCACACAGCUGGAGAAACUCACUCUCAUGUCCAGCAGGAUUGAUCGCAACUGGGGAAGAAGCAAUCUGUUAUGAUUGAGCCUCAUGGCUCUGUUACUGACAGACGUGGGCGUAAGACUCCUCGAGAGUCAGAUACUCUCGAGGAGCGAGAGAGAAAAAGACUGCGAGACAUAUUUGCAGCACCAUCUGACGAGGAGUCUUUCGAAGGGUUUACGGAGAGAAUGGAGGAGGGGCUGGUUAGCUCAGAGGAGGAUGAGAUGGAUUGGACUCGGGUAAGGGAGGAAGUGGGUGCCACUGGCCAUGAUGGGACAGGAGAGAAUGGAGGAGGGGCUGGUUAGCUCAGAGGAGGAUGAGAUGGAUUGGACUCGGGUAAGGGAGGAAGUGGGUGCCACUGGCCAUGAUGGGACAGAAGAUGAAUGGGGACCUUCAGGAUUAGACCCAUGGCUUAGUUGGAGGGAUGGGACGGGAUCCACAGCUGGAGACGCUGUUGGGCGUAGUCAGAGGUGUUCCAGCUCUGACGAGGAAAGUGAUGAGGAAACGCCCGGGUUAAGGAGGACAGCUGACAGUGAUGAAGAUUUGUAACUGGCAUAAAAUGGGGCUUGGGAGCAAUUGCAAAUUGCGUUGGGCAAGGUAAUCUGGGCAAACGCUUGGGAUCCGUGUGUGUGUGGGACGCUUCCCUGAAGACUUGUGUGCUUUCCUGUGCUGUGACGUAAGUUGAUUGGAAUCCAGGGUCAGACGGCGGGAGGGAUUGUGUGGGCAUUUGUUUGUGCAAACCUGUGCUUACUCUUAUUAGCUUGACCC
rnacentral:lncRNA from 1 species